AUGGACCGGAAUCGUCCCCCAGCCCACCACCAGCUCUCUCCUCAUCGUGAGCCCUCCCCCAGCACCCCCGCAGAGAUCAUCCAGCCACCGACAUGCCGGAGUCCCUGCCGGCCGCCACCGACACCGAGCUCCUCAAGGCCCCCGACGCCGACGAGGCCGACCUUGUUCCACUGCCGACGAGAACCGCAACCUCCCUCCCUCCCUACUCACUCCAGCCACCGCGGGGCCCCCCCUUCCCAUCUCAUUCUGCACUCUGCAGCCACCUCUUCUCCUCAAAGCCUGCCCUCUCUCCCAGUCCCACUCAUUUUCGUUGAUUCAAUCUCCUCCACAAUCGGAGUAGUAGUACAUGGAGAAAUGACUAAGCUUCUCCAUCGUAGAACCCAAGCCCCACCUCCCAUUGUUAAUUUUUUGCUACUCAACUUGUGGAUACUGACUUCAGUUUCCAGUUAA
rnacentral:rRNA from 1 species